GGGUUUUGCUAUGAAGUUCAGACUGUCCUGGAACUCACUUUGUAGGCCAGGCUGGCCUUGAAGUUGCAGCAAUCCUUCUGCCUCAGCCUCCUGAGUGCUGGGAUUACAGGCAUGCACCAUCACACCCAGUUCAAUCCAUGUUUUUGAGAAGGAGGCAAGAGAGAAAUGACAGCUUCACAGAAGCAGAAAGAAUGCCAUGGGAUUACCGUGGGAAAAGAUAUUUGAAAUAUCAAGUCUCAGAACAGGAUAUUGGAGCCCGGAAAUCUUCAUUCAUCCCAAGGCGAAGUGAAUGACUGGCGUACUGUACUGGAAAGGAAAAAGGGACAAAGAAGUGGGAAAAUAUCUGGAAUUAAAAGAAGAAUACAGCACAAAAGAAAGAAAGUUAAAGAAAGAAGGCAAGAAAGAAAGAAAGAAAGAAAAAAAGAAAGAAAGAAAGAAACAAACAAACAAACAAAGAAACAAAGAGAGAAACCCAGAAUUAGAAUUUUGGUUUCCACAUGUGCUGUGCAACCUUACUCAGAUUCCUUCUUUUUCAUAUUUGUCCUUCACUAGAAAAAUUUAAAGGAGCAAAUCUAUCUCAUUUAGAAGUUUGUCGUGAUAUUAAAUGAAAUAAUAAAUUGCUAUGAACAGUACCUGGCAAAAUAAGCCACAUUAUAUCCAAAUUCCAACUACCAAAGUUCCUGUGGAAGUUUUUGAAUUACUAUUAAUGCUGGAGGAAAGCAUUCAAAUGAAAUGAAUGAAAAUAAAUAUGUGAUUUAUAAAUUCAAGUCACAAUCCAAAGGUGAAAUAAAGGAUGUAACUGAGCAUAUUUCAAUUUUUCUUUUCAUUCUGGAUAAUACAACAGCUGUGAGCUUUGAAUAAGACCUAUGGUUAGAAAUGUUCUAGAAGAUUCAGCAAGUGCUGAGAAAUGCAAGAGAUUUAUAGAAUAGAUUUCUCCUUGAGGCCUUGAAUUUUUAGGAAAUUUGAAAGAAUACCAACAUCAUGCCUGGUCUUGGUUGUCAAAUGCCUGGUGAAUAUUUUUAGGAAGCGUCAGAUGUCAUUAGUGGACUUGAGUUCCUACAAGGUAUGACAUAUAGUCAUUCCCUUGAGUUUCAAAAGAGCCAUCAUAUUUAAGGGGAAAUGGAGGGAAAAAGAGAGAAAGAAGCUAUACAGAAUAAAAU
rnacentral:lncRNA from 1 species